rnacentral:sRNA from 1 species
GAGUGACUAAGGGUACAGACUGAAGCUAGACCUCUUGAGAUUGACAAAUUGGCCAUAUGACAUAGAGAAAAUGAUUUAACCUCUCUGUGCUUUAGUUAUAUUAUCUGUAAUAUAGGGAACAAUAAUAGUACCUACCUGUUGGGGUUGUAAUCUCUGGCAUGUAGUAAGCAUCUAGUGAGUCUCAGUUAUUACUGUUUUUAACAUAUGGUAUAAUAUUUCAGAAUGUAUGUUGUUGAUUUUAAUUUUUAGGUCUCUUGCAGCUGAAUGGGGUAAAUAUGGAAUGCGAUUCAAUGUGAUUCAACCAGGGCCUAUAAAAACCAAAGGUGCCUUUAGCCGUCUGGACCCAACUGGAACAUUUGAGAAAGAAAUGAUUGACAGAAUUCCCUGUGGUCGCCUGGGGACUGUAGAAGAACUUGCAAAUCUUGCUGCUUUCCUUUGUAGUGAUUAUGCUUCUUGGAUUAAUGGAGCAGUCAUUAAAUUUGAUGGUGGAGAGGAAGUACUUAUUUCAGGGGAAUUCAACGACCUGAGAAAGGUCACCAAGGAGCAGUGGGACACCAUAGAAGGACUCAUCAGGAAGACAAAAGGUUCCUAAGACCACUUUGGCCUUCAUCUUGGUUACAGAAAAGGGAAUAGAAAUGAAACAAA